GGGCAGAAAGGAUUUGGUCUGAGACUGAGUUAGGGCGGGGAGGAAGAGUGGAGAGACCCGGCUGGAGGAGGCUUCCUUCGGGUCCUCUUUCUGCCGGCCCCACCGCCCCUCACCUGCGUGCGAGGGGCGACCUCGAGGCGGUAGGGGGCGCCGCCACCUCGGGCCAGCACCACCUGCGGGGCCAGGACCUCCUUCUCCGCCUGCAACCGGUGCCCGGCGGCCGCGGUCCGGGCCUUGUCCAGCAGCACGAGGUGGCGCCCUCGCACCCAAAGCCCCGACCCCUCCUCCAGCAACGGCUCCCCUACUCCGCGGGCAUCGUCUCUCAGCAGCCUUCUGUGCACCUGCGGGGAGAGUGGCCAGGAGAGGGAUCAGCAGGUGCCCCCACUGGCCCUGGGCCCCAACAGACCACAGACCACCCCUCAGUGCCCCCAGUCACCGCACCUCCUCUCCAGGAUCUCCCGGCCAUUGCUGUCAGUGUAGAAGAGUCCGUCUGUCUCCAGCACAGUGUCAAAGCGACUGAUGACCUCCUUCCCCCAGCCAUCACUAUACCCAAUGGGAUGGCAAGGUGGUGAGCCUCACCUUAACUCCACUCUGCCCUUCGCUCAGCCCCCACUCCCAACCUCCACCACUCACCCCACAGGUAUUGGCCCCACUGUCCACUCCAGCUCCAGGUGCCGCUGUCCCGGGUACAGGCGAACCACCUGGGAACACCAGGCUGAGAAGUUCUGGUGCACUUCCUGCACCAAGGCUGUCUGCAGGCACAUGGGGGUGAAGGGCAGGUGUAAGCGUGCAGCUGAGCAGAGGGAACAUGGGUUCGAGCCCUGGUCCAGGAAGAUCCCACAUGCCACAGAGCAGCUAAGCCCGUGCACCACAACUACUGAGCCUGCGUUCUAGAGCCCGCAAGCCACAACUACUGAGCCCAAGUGCCACAACUACUGAAGACCACGCGCCUAGAGUCCAUGCUCCACAACGAGAAGCCGCCGCAAUGAGAAGCCUGCGCACCGUAAUGAAGAGUAGCCCCUCCUCUCCACAACUAGAGAAAAAGCCCACAUGCAGCAACGAAGACCCAACGCAGCCAAAAAUUAAAAAAAAUUAAAAAUUAAAAAAAGAUAGAAGACUAGAUGACUACUGAACCAUCCCACC